UACGGAGAGUGCAAGCAUUAAUCGGAAUUAUUGGGCGUAAAGGGCGCGUAGGCGGGAGUGAAAGUCAGAUGUGAAAUUCCGAAGCUCAACUUCGGAGCUGCAUUUGAAACUCCAAACCUCGAGGAUUGACGGAGAAAACGGAAUUCCACGUGUAGCGGUGAAAUGCGUAGAUAUGUGGAAGAACACCUGUGGCGAAAGCGGUUUUCUAGUUUAUACCUGACGCUGAGGCGCGAGAGCAAGGGGAGCAAACAGG
rnacentral:rRNA from 1 species